AGCGCACGUAAGAGCUCACAGAGAUCUCUUGUACAGGCAGCAAAUAACCAGAGUUUGGAUGACAUCAAAGUCAAGAGAAAGUGCCUGGCUUUGUCCAGAAUCUAUUUCAAUUGCAAAGCAUUCUUAGCAAUGCCCCAGAAGACAAGGCGCUGCAUCUGGUAUCUGAAUGAGCAGGAGUUCCCUUUAUCUGGGGUCCAUCACUGCUCUGAGCCUUCCUGACAUUGGAAAGUUCGUUUUAUUCUGAACGAUCAGCUUUGACAGAAAAAAGGACAUCUCUGCAUAUGAAGGACACAUACUGCAGAAUCAUAGAGAAAAGGGACCAGCUGAAAUACUGCGAGCUGUUAUAGAACCUGUGGCCCAGGUGGGUGCUGUGGUUCCCUGCCCCAGAAAUGGACCCAGCCAAGUGGGAUAUGCCUUUACCCUGGGCUGGCAUACAGACUGUUACCCUGCCACCCUCCUGGGGCCUGACCAUUGGCCUGCACGCAGAGCAGUGCACAGCAGGCCAGGGAACAGUCACCUGAGUGCUCAGGCCAGGUAAGCCAGGCCAUCGUCCGCCCAACUCUCUGCAGCAGCUGAGCUCCUGGUCUGCACAGCUCAGGGCUCUCUGGUGACUGUGACGGGGAGCGGAGCAAGCCCAGAGAGUCAAGGCCUCACUCCUGCAGGCUGUUGUCUCAGCAGAGGCUCAGGCCAGAAGAAGAGUGUGGAUCAAGAUGGGGCAGUCCAGGCUGGGCAGAGACAGGGAAGCAGAGCACUGGUCACAGAGACACCAAGAAGCCACAGUCAAGAGCUAUGAACCCGGAAGAAGGUGUGGUGCAAAACAUGACAGUGUCAAAGGCCACAGUCAGGAUGGGUCCCAAGGACAUGGUUGUGCGAACAGGGCCUCGGGUAAGGUCAGUUCUUGCAUUUUAAUUGUAUGGCCCCCCUCCCCUGACACUGCUGUCUGCUCUAAGCCUGUGCCUUUUGGACCCUGAGGGCAUAAAAGUGAGUAAGACACCACCCUGAGCUAUGUCCAAAGCUAGGAAAGCCAUCAUGGGAAUGGCUAAAACCAGCUGCACUUAGUAAUUGCUGCAUCUGAGCUGUGUUCCUACUGUGCUGUCAUUGUCCACCGAGAACCUAUGCAGGGCUGGUGCUCAGGACAUAUUCACAAAUGAAGAAAUGAACGGGGGAGAGAAUGAGUGAAUAAGUCAGUAACAAAGAAGUCUUGAACAGAAGUUGGCAAAGAGCAUUGAAGGAAGUGAUGACAUCUCAAGGCCUUAAAGUGUCUGUGUAUGCCAAAAUAGAAUCCAUUUUUGCUGUUUCCCAAUAAAUGACAGGCAAUUACCAU